GACGAACGCUGGCGGCGGGCUUAACACAUGCAAGUCGAACGGAAAGGCCCUGCUUUUGUGGGGUGCUCGAGUGGCGAACGGGUGAGUAACACGUGAGUAACCUGCCCUUGACUUUGGGAUAACUUCAGGAAACUGGGGCUAAUACCGGAUAGGAGCUCCUGCUGCAUGGUGGGGGGUGGAAAGUUUCGGCGGUUGGGGAUGGACUCGCGGCUUAUCAGCUUGUUGGUGGGGUAGUGGCUUACCAAGGCUUUGACGGGUAGCCGGCCUGAGAGGGUGACCGGCCACAUUGGGACUGAGAUACGGCCCAGACUCCUACGGUAGGCAGCAGUGGGGAAUAUUGCCCAAUGGGCGGAAGCCUGAUGCAGCAACGCCGCGUGCGGGAUGACGGCCUUCGGGUUGUAAACCGCUUUAGCCUGUGACGAAGCGUGAGUGACGGUAAUGGGUAAAGAAGCACCGGCUAACUACGUG
rnacentral:rRNA from 1 species